rnacentral:rRNA from 1 species
GUCUAGAGGCUUCGGCAAUGGGCGAAAGCCUGACCGAGCGACGCCGCGUGUGGGAUUGAAGGCGUUUUCGUCGUAAACCACUGUCAGAGGGGAAGAAUGCCCGGAUGGUGAAUCCGGGAGAGACGUUACCCUCAGAGGAAGCCCCGGCUAACUCCGUGCCAGCAGCCGCGGUAAUACGGAGGGGGCCAGCGUUGUUCGGAUUUACUGGGCGUAAAGGGAGUGUAGGCGGUCGGUCAAGUCCGGUGUGAAAGCUUUACCGCUCACCGGAAAGAUGUCAUCGGAAACUGGUCGACUUGAGUAGGGUAGAGGCAAGCGGAAUUCCUGGUGGAGCGGUGGAAUGUGUAGAUAUCAGGAAGAACAUCGGUGGCGAAGGCGGCUUGCUGGGCUCUUACUGACGC